CCCCAUCCCGACCUUGGCUAAGACAGAGUGCGCCGUCGCUGCCGUUCUCGCCGGAGAGAGAGAGAGAAUGGAGCCCGCACCGCUCCCAACCCUCCCGAUCUCUGGGCUGGGGCGCUCAUGUCGGCGCCAGACACGGAGGCGCCUUCCAGAGCACCUUGCCGCUAUAGUGAUGUGCGGCAGCGCGAGGACAUGGUGAGGCUUCAUUCAUGGAUUCAACGAUUUCAAGGGUUCGAAGGAUUGAAUCUGAGAACAUAAUUCUCGAAAUGGAGGAGGUACAGUUGGUGUUCCUUGAGAUGGCAAGAAAGAGCAUUCAAGGGAAGAGGAUUCGUUGCGAGAGAUUCGGAUGCUGGUGCGGACGGUCAAGGGAGGGGGGACUCGUUGCAGCAUCAAAAAGACACAGGCAACGGUGCUACUGCUGAUGGUAGAGAGGAGAUCAACGGCAAGGAAGGCAAGGGAAAAACUGAGGGUGUGAAACUGAGUUUAUUCUAGGUGUCAUUUUUUGCUGAUCAACUCAUCUCAAUCCCCAUCCAUCUUCCUCCAAUUUUUCUUUUGUUCCUGUACAGGUCAGGUCAAACAGGGUUUACAAUUAGGUACAAAGCUUCACGAGGACUCAUCUUCUUGGGAUGGAAGAUGAUCGGUUACUGUUAAAUUGUAAAAUUUAUAUAUUUUUGUGAUGGUGCCGACUGGGAGUUCUUUUAGAUUUACUUCUAUCAUAGGUAGUAGAAAUUACGUUCAGCUUAUGCAGAUGAUGCAUGGACACUGCAGUAAAAGUAAAUACAUUACCUGUAAACUUGAUUGUUGAUUUAGUAA